rnacentral:rRNA from 1 species
GUCUAAUCUGCUCAAUGAGGAUUUAAAUUGCCGCGGUAUUUUGACCGUGCAAAGGUAGCAUAAUAAUUAGUUUUUUUAUUGAAAGCUGGAAUGAAUGAUUGGACGAGAGAGCAGCUGUCUCUGACAGAUUUGUAUUUUAAUUUAACUUUUGAGUAAAAAGGCUCAAAUUAAUUUUAAAGACGAGAAGACCCUAUAGAGUUUUAUAAUAUAUUUAAUAAAAGGUUUUUGGUCAUUAAAUUUUUUUAUUAAUUAUUUUAUUUGGUUGGGGUGACUUAAAGAUUGAAUUAACUCUUUUAGAAUUUUAUCAUUGAUUUGUGAAUUAGGAAUCUAGUUUUUCUAAAUAUAAGAUAAAUUACCUUAGGGAUAACAGCGUAAUUUUUUCUUAGAGUUCUUAUUGUAGAAAAAGUUUGCGACCUCGAUGUUGGAUUAAAAUUAAUUUUCGGUGCAGAAGCUGGAAAAUUGGGUCUGUUCGACCUUU